rnacentral:rRNA from 1 species
GACGAACGCUGGCGGCGUGCCUAAUACAUGCAAGUAGAACGCAGUUGCGAACGGGUGAGUAACGCGUAGGUAACUGCCCCAUAGCGGGGGAUAACUAUUGGAAACGAUAGCUAAUACCGCAUACUGUGAGAUGGAGCUGCGUUGUAUGUGGUAGUUGGUGGGGUAAAGGGUCACCAAGGCGACGGUACAUAGCCGGCCUGGGAGGGUGGACGGCCAAACCGGGACUGGGAAACGGGCCAGACUUCUAAGGGGGGGAGCAGUAGGGGAACUUCGGGAAUGGACGGAAGUCUGACCGAGCCAAGGCGGGGGAGUUGAGAAGGGUUUCGGGUCGUAAAGCUCUGUUUUUAGGGGAGCGGUAACUAACCAGAAAGCGACGGCUAACUACGUGCCAGCAGCCGCGGUAAUAC